rnacentral:tRNA from 1 species
GAGGGUGCAGCUGAAGUGGUAGAGUGCAUGCUUAGCAUGCAUGAGGUCCUGGGCUCAAUCCCCAGUACCUCCA